rnacentral:tRNA from 2 species
UUAGAAGGACAGGACUCGAACCCGCACCUAGAAGCUCAAAACCUCCAGCACUCCAUUGUACUACCAUCUA